CCCCUGCAGGGCUCACAUGAGGACACGCCUCCUCCUCGCGCCUCCACGGAGCGCAGCCAAUCAGCGUUCCAGGGCUUCGCGGGUGGGACUGCCCCUUGCCCCUCGCACCUCCUCCCGCACGCGCCAGGACACGCCCAUUCCACGGGCCGACCUCCCCAAGCCCUCGCGCCUCGGCCGCGUGCAGCUAGCUGUCGCUGCUUCCUCCCCUGCGGACUUCGGAGGGUCCCCAGGACCGUUGUGUUGCCCUCUGACACUCUCUCGCUGUCCGGUUCCUACCCAGAGGUGUGGGGCGGGACCGAGAACCCGAGAGGCGAUGAGGGAGGCCCGGCGCGGCCUCUCGGAGGCAAAGCGCGGUCUGAGGGAAAUGCCUGUCAAGUCCUGUCGGACCCUCGCGGGACCGGUUCCCACCGCAGCCGGUGGGCAGGGCUUCUCCCCGCCCGGAACUCGUCCUCCGGUCCGCUGAAUGCAGACAGCAAGCCGGGCCGGUCCACCGCACGGGACUGCGGAGGAAGGAGAUUCCUUGGAAUGAAACCAAUGGGAGAUCAGGGUUUGGGAGAGUCUCAUCAGAGCAGAUGGGCCAGCAGCAGCCAGAAAGCUUGUUGCCUUUGGCUGAGAGCACCAUCCUGGAUCUGACGUCUUAUGGAAAAACUGAAGCCUAAGGAGAGGAAUGGACUUGCCAUGGACAUUUCAGGAGCCCAGAGGCAACUCGGGCCAAGGAGCCCCUACCUGGACACCUUUGUGCACCUUGCUGUCCCCAGCCCAGGGCCCUUGAGGAAUAGGUAAGUGGAAAGACCCAAGGGAGUCUGGAACUUUGUGAAGGGCCCUGAUGUCCCCCAAGUCACGAGAGACUUUUCUUUCUCCUGCUGUAGCCUCCCCAUGAGUAGCACAGGGUCAUCACGUCUUCCCUGGCCACAGUGCUAGGCUGUGAGGAUCAAAGGAGAAACUGUGCUAACAUCCUUGGGCAACUGUGAAGCUCUCUGCCUGAGGUAGGAGAUAAGUACCAUCAUCAUCAUCCCUAAUGGCUCCCAGAUCCAAGAGAUCCAGGCUGACCCCUCCAAGGCUUUAUCAAGCAAUGCUCAAACAGCCAAGUCUCGGUGGAACUAGGUCCUGCUCUGAAGAUCAUGGGUAUUGGUGAUACAGAUGGGGCAGGGCAGGUCCAGGAUCCAUUCUGAAUCUCCAGCAGCUCAAGAAUGGGCUGAAUCCCCACUUGCUCCAUCCCACCAACCUUCCCACCCAGGGGCCUCACCACACCCAUCUGCUCACUGGACCCUCACAACACCUUUGUGAGCUCAGAA